UCCUGAGUAGAGUAGCUGGGACUACAGGCGCCCACCACCACGCCCGGCUAAUUUUUUUGUAUUUUUAGUAGAGACGGGGUUUCACCGUGUUAGCCAGAAUGGUCUCGAUAUCCUGACCUCGUGAUCCUCCCGCCUCGGCCUCCCAAAGUGCUGGGAUUACAGGCAUGAGCCACCGCGCCCGGCUCAAACCCUUUUUUGAGUCAGCAUAAUGUUGUUUUGUCUUUUCUGGGGAGGAGGCUGGCUUCUCACUCCCCAUUUCUUCCUCAUUAUUUAUUCUAUCAACCCAUGUUGACAAGCAACAACCUCUAUUGUAAUCUCCGUGCUCAUUUUACCUGUGAUGUGUGGCAUUUCCUACAUGUUGCUGUCAAUCAUGAAAUCCACCUCAAAAACCCCAAAUCCUUCAUUCUUACUGGAGGAAUAUGACCUCUCUACAAAGGAAACUAUUCUCAAUGUUGUGGCUCUGACAUAUAUGAAAUUCAGUUACUGCAGUGUAUUUAUAUAACACCACUUCCCUAAUAACAAGGUUGAAAUGAAAUUUACUUGGGUAUAUCAACUGUGAGUAAUUGUAUAAACGUUGCUGCUAGCUCUUUAGUCCAGACAUCACUGCAAAGAUAUCAGAUGUGUCUCAUGAUCAGUGAUGAAAUCACCCCACUUCUCUCAAAGACUGUCAGGGAUUGGUCACUGUGCAUCUGUGAUUCAGUUCACAUACAAACAGAAAAUACAUAUUUGUGUUACUACCUUGUCUCCCAGUGUUAAGCCCAAGUGACAUUUUACAAAAAUGAGUAAUCAAAAGAGGUAAUAGGUCAACAAAGAUGAAGGUGUAGCAAAGGACAGAAAAGUGGUAACAAUGGAAAUGAAAUUGAAUGUGAUUAGAAGAUAGUAGACAUGGAAAUGUUGAUGCUGCUUUCUUUAGAGACACCAGACAUGCAGCCAGAGGAACUUAAUGAGGGCCAAGUUACCAGCAUAAAUGAGAAAAGUGGCUGUAAUGAGAUGUGCUGGAGUAAGUAACUCCUGAAAACAAAUAUCACGUUAGAGGAGCUACUGAAGGAUUUUCACAAUAUUAGAAGCAAAAGAGAUAAAAUGUUGAAAGCUGACUCAAACCUAGAAGAAAGGAUGGCAAUUCACUAAGGCAUGGAAAAGACCCUUGUUCCAUAUAAAAGGAGAAGAUUCCAGAUAAUAAUGAACUCAAAUAACACAGAUAUGGUUGUCAGCUCUUUUCUUUAAUUUCCAUAAAAGAACAAAUAAAAAACAGUUACAAUGAAAAACAACCACCACCACAAGAAAACAGCCAAAGAAAUGAAAGCAGCAU
rnacentral:lncRNA from 10 species